CCUGAUAUGGAGCAGAUUAGCACGUUCUCUGCACAAGAAUAACAUGCAAACUUGUGAAGUGUUCCAUAUUUUU
rnacentral:snRNA from 1 species